UCUGCUCAGUAACACGUGGAUAACCUGCCCUUGGGUCCGGCAUAACCCCGGGAAACUGGGGAUAAUUCCGGAUAACGCACAUAUGCUGGAAUGCUUUAUGCGUAAAAUGGAUUCGUCUGCCCAAGGAUGGGUCUGCGGCCUAUCAGGUAGUAGUGGGUGUAAUGUACCUACUAGCCUACAACGGGUACGGGUUGUGAGAGCAAGAGCCCGGAGAUGGAUUCUGAGACAUGAAUCCAGGCCCUACGGGGCGCAGCAGGCGCGAAAACUUUACAAUGCGGGAAACCGUGAUAAGGGGACACCGAGUGCCAGCAUCAUAUGCUGGCUGUCCAGGUGUGUAAAAUACACCUGUUAGCAAGGGCCGGGCAAGACCGGUGCCAGCCGCCGCGGUAACACCGGCGGCCCGAGUGGUGAUCGUGAUUAUUGGGUCUAAAGGGUCCGUAGCCGGUUUGGUCAGUCCUCCGGGAAAUCUGACGGCUUAACCGUUAGGCUUUCGGGGGAUACUGCCAGGCUUGGAACCGGGAGAGGUAAGAGGUACUACAGGGGUAGGAGUGAAAUCUUGUAAUCCCUGUGGGACCACCUGUGGCGAAGGCGUCUUACCAGAACGGGUUCGACGGUGAGGGACGAAAGCUGGGGGCACGAACCGGAUUAGAUACCCGGGUAGUCCCAGCCGUAAACGAUGCUCGCUAGGUGUCAGGCAUGGCGCGACCGUGUCUGGUGCCGCAGGGAAGCCGUGAAGCGAGCCACCUGGGAAGUACGGCCGCAAGGCUGAAACUUAAAGGAAUUGGCGGGGGAGCAC
rnacentral:rRNA from 1 species